CCCUAGCCCAGAUAGAAAUGGAAAGCUUUUUAUUGAAAAAAUAUAGUUUUUCUUGACGAAAAAAAGCGACCAACGGAAGCUCUUUUUUGGUCUUAGAAAAACUUAUUUUUUUAUAAAAACUUAUAAUGGAUAGCUGGAAAUAGC
rnacentral:sRNA from 1 species